ACCAAAUUAUUUUUAUUUUUUCUUUGUACUAGAAUCUGACAAUGGCCAUUGAAAAUUCUAUUAUAUUCUUUCUUUCUCUCUCCUCUCUCUUCUCUCUCUUCAGUGCUCCCACACUUGAUGCAAGUUUGCAUCUUCUUCCUUUCUCCCUGAAGGCUUGAACUCACCGAAACCAUCAAAUUAUCAGCCAGCAAAAUCUCUCCAGAUCUGCUCCUCCCUUCUUUUUGAAUUCAAAGUAGACAGUACUAGCAAAAGGAUGGAAUUCCAUCUUCACUCCCAAGUCCCUUGUUCUAAAUAUUCGGUGGUUUGGCUAUUUCUAGAUCUUCAAUGGUUUUGCUAUCUUCAGAUCUUCAUCCCCUUUUAAGACUUCGGGCAAUAAGAGCAGUAAUAGGUGGUGAUAAGGUCUUUGUGCACGACGAGAAGUCUCAACCCAAGUUUUGGAAUUGAUGGGGUGGGUCACUGGCAAAGGACUUCCAAAUUGAAGUAAAAGGAAAUGAUGUUCAUGUGGUUUUGCUCAUAACUCUUCUCAGAAAAAAGCAUCAAGCAUGCUGCGAUCGUCAAUGUGAACUCUGUCAAAGAGGUAGGUCUCAUCAAAAAGCCCGCGGAUCAAAUGGGCCGAUGGAGGCCCGCCGGCCCUGAGGGCUAAAGCCUGGCCCGGCCCGUUAAAAAGCCCGCUUCUGUGGGUAGUGGGCCGGCCCGCAAAAAUCCGGCCCGUAAAAGUCCGUAAAAUAUUAUAUAUAUAUAUAUAUGUGUGUGUGUGUGUGUGUGUGUAGGCCUCAUCAAAAAGCCCGCGGAUCAAGUGGGCCGAUGGAGGCCCGCCGGCCCUGAGGGCUAAAAGCCCGGCCCGGCUCGUUAAAAAGACCGCCUCGGUGGGUAGUGGGCCGGCCCGCAAAAAUCCGGCCCGGCCUGUAAAAGCCUACUAAGCCCAGCCCGUAAAAUAAUAAAUAUAUAUAUAUAUAUAUAUAUAUAUUAUGUGUGUGUAUGUGUGU